AGCAGCCGCGGUAAUUCCAGCUCCAAUAGCGUAUAUUAAAGUUGUUGCAGUUAAAAAGCUCGUAGUUGAAUUUCGGGGUCAGUAGGUCGGUCGUGCCACUGGUAUGAACUGGUUUUACUGAUUCCUCCCUCUUGAAGAACUGUAAUGCCAUUAAUUUGUUGUUGCAGGGAAUCAGGACUGUUACUUUGAAAAAAUUAGAGUGUUUAAAGCAGGCUUUAGCUUGAAUACAUUAGCAUGGAAUAAUGAAAUAGGACGUUUGAUCCUAUUUUGUUGGUUUCUAGGAUUGACGUAAUGAUUAAUAGGGAUAGUUGGGGGCAUUAGUAUUCAAUUGUCAGAGGUGAAAUUCUUGGAUUUAUUGAAGACUAACUACUGCGAAAGCAUUUGCCAAGGAUGUUUUCAUUAAUCAAGAACGAAAGUUAGGGGAUCGAAGACGAUCAGAUACCGUCGUAGUCUUAACCAUAAACUAUGCCGACUAGGGAUCGGAUGAUGUUAAUUUUUUAAUGACUCAUUCGGCGCCUUACG
rnacentral:rRNA from 1 species